AUGCCACGGACUCCCACUGUCCAGGGCUUCCAGUGGACUCUCCGAGGCACUGACGUAGAAACUUCCCCAUUCAGUGCACCAAGAGCAGCCUCACACGGUGUGGGCUGACAAGAAGGGCUGCCAGAUCCAACAGUCCUUGGCUCCACCUCUUCUGCCACAAACGUCAGCAUGGUGGUACCUGCCAGCCCUUGGUCCAGUGAGAAGGCAAAAAAGAGCAUUCUAGAAAUCAAUGAGAAAUUGCACCCCCAGCUGGCAGAGAACAAACAGCAGUUCAGAAACAGCAAAGAGAAAUUUCUUGUAACUCAAGUGGCCUACUUCCUGGUCAACCAGCAGAACAAAUACCACAAGCAUGUCUGUCUUUUCUCAGAGUGUGAAGAGUGCCAAGACCUCAUAAAAUCUAUGCUGAGGAAUGAGCUGCAGUUCAAGGAGGAGAAGCUUGCAGAGCAGCUCAGGCAAGCUGAGGAGCUCAGGUGAUAUAAAGUCCCAGUCCACUCUCAGGAAUGAGAGCUGACCCAGUUACGGGAGAAGUUACAGGAAAGGAGAGACGCCUCCUGCUUAUUGAGUCAGCAUCUCCAGGCCCUCCUCACUCUGGAUGAGCCGGAUAACUCCCAGGGGCAGGACCUCCAAGAACAGCCUGCUGAGGGGUGUAGGCUGGCACAGCACUUUGUCCAAAAGCUCAGCUCAGAAAAUGACGAAGAUGAGGAUGAAGAUGUUGAAGUUGAGGAGGCUGAGAAAGUACAGGAAUCAUGUGCCCCCAGGGAGGUGCAGAAGGCUGAAGGAAAGGAAGUCCCUGAGGACUCACUGGAGGAAUGUGCCGUCACUUAUUCAAACAGCUAUGGCCCUUGUGACUCCAAACAGCCUCACAGGAACACCAAAAUCACAUUUAAGGAAGAGAAAGUUGAUCCAUCUCUCAUUGAUUCAUCCUCUCCUGAUGAAUGAGAGGAUGCUGUACACAUUAUCCCAGAAAAUGAAAGUGAUGAUGAGGAAGAGGAAGAAAAAGGGCCAGUGUCUCCCAGGAAUCUGCAGGAGUCUGAAGAGGAGGAAGCCCCUCAGGAGUUCUAGGAUGAAGGUUAUUCGACUCUCUCAAUUCCUCCUGACAAGUCAGCCUCGUACCAGUCUUACAGGAGCACCUUUCACUCAUUAGAGGAACAGCAAGUCGGUUUGGCUCUUGUCGUAGGCAGACAUCGAUGUGAGCAAGUGAAAAAGGAGGACCAAGAGGCAACAGAUCCCAGGCUCAGCAGGGAGCUGCUGGACAAGAAAGAGACUGAAGUCUUGCAGGACUCACUGGAUAUAUGUUAUUCAACUCCUUCCGGUUAUCUUGAACUGCCUGACUCAUGCCAGCCCUACAGAAGUGCCUUUUACUCAUUGGAGGAACAGCACCUUGGCUUGGCUCUUGAUGUGGACAGAAUUAAAAAGGACCAAGAAGAGGAAGAAGACCAAGGCCCAUCAUGCCCCAGGCUCAGCAGAGAGCUGCUGAAGGUAGUAGAGUCUGAAGUUUUGCAGGACUCACUGGAUAGAAGUUAUUUGACACCUUCCAGUUGUCUUGAACUGCCUGACUCAUGCCAGCCCUAUGGAAGUUCCUUUUACUCAUUGGAGGAACAACACGUUGGCUUUUCUCUUGAUGUGGAUGAAAUUGAAAAGUACCAAGAAGGGGAAGAAGAUCAGAACCCACCAUGCCCCAGGCUCAACGGGGUGCCGAUGGAAGUGGAAGAGGCUGAAGUCUUGCAGGACUCACUGGAUAGAUGUUAUUCACCUCCUCCAACUUAGUUUGAACUACCUGACUCAUUCCAGCACUACAGAAGUGCCUUUUACUCACUUAAGGAACAGCACAGCAGCUUGGCCCUUGAGUGGACAAUACGUUUUUUACUUUGAUGGGGAUAAAGCUCCACCUGGUCUUCUAGAUGGGAGUCAUAUUCCCACACUAA